AGCAAACAUGCUAAUCUUAGUCUUCCUGAAUCACUAAGGAUGCACUUUUAGAGCAUCUAAAAUUGAGGAUCUGAGUUACAUUGUCCAAGCUUCUGAGUGCCAGAGCAAUAGGAGGAAGAACUCAGGAUUUCUAGGAAUAGCGCAUUGGAAACCACCAGGUUCUGCAUAACCCAGCGAGGAUUCAUCACUGCCCAGGCAAAACAGGCAAAAUACAUUAGUGUCAUGGUAAACUGAUAAAGAGAAGUGCCUCAAUCCAGCAUCCUCAAUGGUGAAAGUCUUAGGGCAGUAUUGAUCUGUGUUAUAUAAAUCUUGUUUUCUG
rnacentral:lncRNA from 1 species